AUCGCUGGAGCGAUCGUGGUGCCGUGGCCGGUAACUGCUCUGUGUGUGUGUGGUUACCCUGCACAGAACAGAAAGGAUAGAGUGGUGACUUCGGGGCAACCCGAGGGAGUGCUCCUCUGUCUUGAAAACAAUUCGGGGAUGCCCACAAGCGAAGGGAUUCCAGGGUGAACUCAUGGAGCGGGAAUCCGGGCGGCGGCAGGAGGGCAGCAGGACGGUGUGCGAGACGGGAGGGGGUGUUAGUAUGCGUCCUGGGCCGACUUCAAGGGGAACUCGUCUGGAAAGCCUGCCGGGAAAACCCCAGACAGCAUAUCCGGGACGGGUAUUCGAACCUCCGGCUCUCGACGUGGAAAGCAGUCUUCUUUUCUUCCGCGAUAUUCCCCUUUUGUGUCAAAUUCCUUUAUUUUCUGUCAAAGCGAAACGUAGACUACCUAAAUGAGCGGGUGACGUGGAC